GUUUUUCGAUUCCUGGCCCAACAAGCAUAGAACACGAUUUCAUCAAUAAAGACAAAAUCAUCGGAAGAAAAUUUCACACAUUUCUAUUAUAAAUGGCCAUUUACAAGUUCCAUUAAUCACACAUUCUCAUACAAUCAAGAAAUCAAAAUCAUCUUCACAGCUUGCAGAUAAAAAAUGGGUUUCUUUUCAGGGUUUUUGAGCUGUUUCAGUACUGAAUCAUCUUCUUCCCGAGUCUCUGAUGCUAUGAUCCGAAACCAUAAAGCUACCUCAUCAGAGAAACCCAAGAGAGAAAUAAAGUCAAAAGCGCCGAUUCCAGUUUCUUACUUCCCGUUGAACUCACAGCUUUCGCGCCUAUAAUCGCUCAGUUUAUGCAGAUUUGAUCGUGUCUGUAUGGGAUUUCUCUGGCAGAUAAUGAAACUUUUAGGGAUGGCUUUUCGUUUGAGCUUGUAUCGUACGGAUUUCUUGUAGUAUGAAUUUGGUCGAUUUCCGCAAUCAUGAAUCAUGAUUUUCAUCAUUUUUAAGAUGAUUGAUUUGCUUUAGUAGACUCAAAUUGAUUUGUGUAUCUUCUACCAUUUUUAUGCAAUCUAUCAUUUUUGUUAAUACCCGUUUGAUACCC
rnacentral:lncRNA from 1 species